GGCUGCCCCGGCCCGCGGCGCCAGCGCCCGAAAUAGGGCUCGGCCUGGAGGCCCGGGGGCGGCGGGCGGCAGGCGCGAGGGACCGCCCCAGCUCGGGGACGCGCCGGGGAACGGGCACCCGGGCUCUAGAUGUCAGACAGAACUGUAUGCCCCAGAAAGCCUCUCAGGGCCAGAGAUUUGUCCGGAGUCUCCAGUUGUAGCUCUAGCAGACCGCCUGGAGCUUUCUUCAUCACGCUUCCUCUCUGAUGAUGAUAAUGAUUCAAGGACGAAAGAUGCAGGUGAAAGUCCCUUAACUUCAUAGCCCCAGCUCUCUCUAACCUGGUUGUCUGGAACAUCUGAGGGAUGGAGGCUGCCGCGCUCCUGUGUCCACUUCACCAUCACAUAACCCAGGGCUUUGCAAAGAGCUGGCUGUUGGGUAUCCCCUGGACUCUUCCCUAGGUGACAUUGCCAAGGAAAUGUGGCACUGGCCAGAUUUCCCACGCCCAGCCCCGAGGCUUCACCUUCCCCACUCUUUUGCCCAUGGAAGCUCGGAAUAAGCUUUCUAGAGGAUGCUCUUUAUUGUGUGUAGGGUCAUCUGAGGUUGCUAAUACUGAAGCUCUUCACCAGAGAAACGAAGGAAGCAUCCCUGCAGCUAAAUGAGGCAAUGUCUGUAGAGGACCAGGCCAUGCCAAGCAGGCUACAGACGCAUGCUCUCUCCUCCCCCAGAGGCACUGCCCUUGUCUGUGCAGACUACCUCUCAGCCCUGCCCUUGGCCAGGCCAUCUGCUGGGCCCAUCCCUGGGCACCUUUGAAGCCUGUCCGUUGCUCAAGGUGUCUUGGAUGGAGUAUAAAGGGGCCUUCCUCUUGUUCCUCUGCCCAAGAGCAAAGAAAGACACAUCUGUUAGGCUCUUCCUGGAAAAUGCAAGGAAAGAAAAAAAAAAUGUUCUCAAUUUUAGAUCCUGCAGGACCAACCAGCAGUACAGGGUUGAAUCGUAUACCCCAAAUUCAUGUCCGUCUGGAGUCUGUGCAUGUGACCUUAUUUGGAAAUAGGGUCUUUGCAGAUGUAGUUAAAGAUGAAGUCAUACUAGAUUUGUUUGGGCCCUAAUCCAAUGACUGGAUACAAGAAGAGGGAGAUUUAGACAUAGGCACACGGGGAAGACAGCCAUGUGAAGACAGAGGCAAAACCUGGAGUGAUGUGUCUACAAGCCAAGGAACGCUAAGGAUUGCUGGUGAUCACCAAAUGCUGGGGAGAGGCAGGGAAGGAUUCUCCCCUAGAGACUUCAGAGGGCACAUGGCCCUGCUGAUAUCUUGAUUUGGGACUUCUGUCCUCCAGGACGGCCAGGCGGAGACCAAGGCCAACAGCAUCCUCAUGCCGUCCUUGUCUGUUUCCCACUGAACCCUCCAGAGACCAGCAGGGAGGGCCCCUGAGACCAGAGAGCAGAGUCAUGCGCAGGCUGACUCAGUUGCUCGAAUCCUCCCUUCAAGGCCACCUGCCAUCUCCUCGCCGCUGGAUCCCGGUCAGUCAUCUACCAGUUAACUGUGUUGCUCACAGUGGGAAGCUAGACUGGGGUGAUUCACCAUCACGCAUCACCCCAUGGGAAGCUCAUCUACAGCGCACGUCGGAGGGAUGGUACUGGGCGUUGCGUUCACAGACGGAGCUCAAAAUGUGCUGAGCAGCUUGUGCGCGCAGCAACGUGCCCAGCCCGGGCACAUCCAGGAUGUCCUCCAGGCAUCUCUGGCCAUUUCUCCAUGUUUCUCUCGGGGGCCUGCAGCCUCUACCGGCCUUCUGGCCCUUUUAAUGGCUUCCUCUCCAGAUGUCUCUCCUACCAGUGACGGAGUCCGGCCUGAUGGUCCCAGGGCCUUGUAUAUUCUGCCAGGGUUGAGGCCCGUCCCCUACCCCACUCAGGACGGACCAGCUCAGUCCUUACCCUGGUGUGGGCACAAGGUCUCUUGUUGCAGCUGGGCCCCUUGGCUGACCUUCUCAGCUCCUUCUCUAAGGCUGGAGAGGCCUGGCAGGAUGCCUGCAGGCUCCUCCCCUCCACCCCAGGGCUCUGGCCAGAGCCUGGUCAGGGUCCUUGCUGAGUUCCCAGCCAACCCCCAGAGUGAUGGACUGAGGAGUCCAGUGGGGGAAACCCCAGUGUGUAGGGCAGUACUCCAUUGACUGUCCCCACCCCCUGAUUGGGCAAUGCUGGCUGGUCUCUGAAUACCUUCUGGGUGGCCUUCCCGCCAGACCCCCUUGCCUACUUUCACCAGGUGCCAAGGAACACUGAAAAGGGCAGCGAAUGGCUAGGGGACCACGCUCAAAAGCCAGCCUGCCUCCCUCCCAAGCUGCCUCCUUUCCCUCCAGCCUCCUUUUUAUAGAAUUGUAUUACAGAAGGGGAUAUAAAGGUCAUCUCAUCCCUCCCCCGGCUUCCAGAAGGAAUAGUUUAGAGUGAUAUUGGGGUUCUCUGAGGCUUUACGCAAAACUCUGCACAUUGGGUUGGCCGGAGGUCUCGCUGGGGUUUCCUUGGCAAUCCCGUGUCCAUUGGGAACACCAGUCCUGAACGUCUGAGGCUCCCAGCCGCUGGGAGAUGGGAUGACCCUGGCGUUCCCUGCAACCACCCAAAGUCUCUAUGGAUGGAAUGGCAGCCCCAGGACUGUCCCCCAAGGCUGACUGGUCUCUGAUGAGAGCCAAGUGUGGCUCCAGCUGCCAUUUGGGUCCUUUGGGGAGUCUUCACAGUAGCUGCUACAUGGGGGUCCUGGAUGGUGGGGACUCCCUCACACAGGUGCAGGUAGUGGUGGAAAGGGCAGGUGAUCAGUGUUCUAAGUCUGCUCCUUCCACUAAUCGACUGUGUGACUGGAGGCACGCCUAAAUCCCUUGACACCUUCGUUUGCUCAUCUGGAAAACGCAACAUAUUGCAUUUGAGCUGCCUCACUUACCUCUGAGUUAUAUAAGGAGGGAAGAGUGAGAUAAUACAUUAGGAUGUGUUUUGAAAAAAACAGAAGCGCUAUUCAUGCCAACACAAGGUAUUAAAAAUAAAAGAUGCCUAUUUGCUUCCCGAAGUAAAAGUUGUAAACGAUUUACAUCAUAUUUUAACGACU